GCAUUGCAGCAACGGUUCCCGUGCGAUCACCAAAGUUAAGUAACAUUGUGCUUGGCCAGUACCUAGAUGGGUGACCGCUUGGGAAUACCAGAUGCUGUAA